CAUCGGUGACAGGUGGUGGCAUGGUUGUCGUCAGCUCGUGUCGUGAGAUGUUGGGUUAAGUCCCGCAGCGAGCGCAACCCCUAUUGUUAGUUGCCAUCAUUCAGUUGGGCACUCUAGCGAGACUGCCGGUAAUAAACCGGAGGAAGGUGGGGAUGACGUCAAAUCAUCAUGCCCCUUAUGACCUGGGCUACACACGUGCUACAAUGGUUGGUACAACGAGUUGCGAGUCGGUGACGGCGAGCUAAUCUCUUAAAGCCAAUCUCAGUUCGGAUUGUAGGCUGCAACUCGCCUACAUGAAGUCGGAAUCGCUAGUAAUCGCGGAUCAGCACGCCGCGGUGAAUACGUUCCCGGGCCUU
rnacentral:rRNA from 1 species